GUUUAUUUGUAGCCUCGCUAGCAAUCCAGCAUUUCAUCUCCGAGGAAGUGAUCCCAGAGAGAAGUAAAGCAAGUGUUGCUUCCAUCAGGUCUGAUUUGUUAUUAUCGGUCUCAGUCUGGUUCUGACUCUGCAGCUCAUUGAUCUUCUACAGAAGAAGAGGAGACAGCUUCCAACCUGGACGCCAGUAAGAUACACAGAUGGGUUUUAGACAGAAAACCUUUGAUGAGCAACUGGUUUCAUUCAAGCCAGUGUACUCUUGGUGCUGGUUCUGGAUAAAUGGGAAGGGUUGCAUAAGGAAGGGCACUGGCACAAAAUAUUUGUGAAAUCAAACAGCAAGAAUGUGAUUUUUGUAUUGAACUGCUGAUCUGGCCUCGAGUUGACAACAAACACCUCCAGUGUGCCAACAGAGUGCCAGUGGAAACUAUUCUGCUCUUGGCCAAAGACAAAAGAAGAGGAGAGGUGGAAGGCAUGUUAGGAGAGAGAAAUACAUCAUGAGACAGAACUCAGGAAAUAAUUUGCGGUUUUAGUUAUUUAAGUCAAAAACAGUUCUACGUUUACUAUUUUACAUGUGAGUGUUUAAGUAAGAAUAGGCCUAUACUAGUUAAUCUCCAGCAAGAUGUUGACUGUCUAAGGAUCCAAAACAGGUUUGGAAUUUAUCAGUGAAAGAAUAACAAUAUACAUAAUAAUAAUCACAUUAUCAAUAUAAAGACUCACAAAUGUAAUGUUUUAACCUUCUACUGGAGGGAGAUUGAUGAAACCUGCACAUAUUUAAAAAAAAUGCACACUAAGCCCCUUUUUGCCCCUUCCCACCUCAAUUUUAAGGUUUCCUGCUCGCUGAUUAUGUCCUCCUUGUCUUCUUCACACGCCAUGCUCAACAGCUCCUUCAUCUUCUCCUCAACUAUGUCAUGGAUGGACUCAUUGUGCUCCUGAUAAUUCACCUGAUUAUUGACCUUCUCGAUGUAGGUGGCAAAGAGGCUAUUCAGUAACUGCAGCUCUUUCUUCUCCAUCGCCCUGUUUGCAAAAGAGCACUCAGUGACUUUGUGGGAAGCAAAGCCUGGGCAGUAAGAGGAAGCAGUUUGUGCUGAAGAAAUGCUGGAGCUCACAGAAAGCCUGGCGAGAGUUGCAACUGAAGCAGAACCUGCUUGUCCAUCUAUUUGUAGGAGCCAUACCAGAGGGAUUGAUGAGCUCUUUGAAAUAUUCCUUAUAGCUGUAUCCUCAGUUGAAGUCAUCCCCACGCUUCCAGGUUAACAACAGUCUUCUUCCAUGGCCUCACUGAACUCCUCCCACACCUUGGGCCCAUCUCAGCUACCAUAGGGCAAGAGGCGAGAUAAACCCUGGACAGGUCAUCAGUCUGUCACAGGGCUACCACAGAGUGACAGACAACAAUUCGCAAUCACAAAUACCACCCAAAGUUUGGACCCACAAAGGAGAUGAUGAGAAUAUCCAAACUCCACUGUGUACAAUAUCCAUCUUUUCUGGCUAUAAUUCACCUCCUCAGGGAUAAUGAUGCUUUCCCAAGUCAGGGCAGGAAUGUAAUCUGUCCAGUGUGCCCCUGGUCUGGCAGUGUGACUUGCUCAAACCACCUCAAUUGGAUCGUGCAAUGUGGAGGAAUAGACUAUGAAUAUACUGACUUAUUCUCUUGAUGAAAUCCUCAUUGAGAAAAAACUGCAUUUUUUUAUUUACUUGAGUUACCUUUGUCUAUUUUUUAAUGAUCUGAAACAUGUA